UUUACGAUAAACUUCACUCUUCCUUUGUCUAUUCAAUCUCAUGAAUAUCUUCUCAUCAAAAUCUUCUCCUAUACUUAUAAAUAAUUUUGAUUUCCAAUUCAACAAUCAUAGAAUCAGCCGACUUCUUCAUCAAUUUGGCUUCAAAUUCAAAAAUAUCUCAUGAUUUCUAUCUUUUUCCUAGGUAAGUAAUCAAUUGCUUCUGCUGUUGUUUUGGAUUUUGUUGGAAUUUAAACAUAAUUCCAGUGUAUAAAUACAUAACAAUGGUUUCAGGUUAGUCUCACUUUUGUCUCCACCAGAACUGUGUUUUUACGUUUUGUAUUUUUCUGAAGAUUUUGUUUCAAUUUGGGAAUUUAGGGUUUAUUCACUCUAACACCCAUCAAAUAAUUUAUAAUUAUGUUUAUUUUGAUUUUGAGAUUUAUGUUUUGUUCCUUUUAUUUCCAAACUAUUGAUUUCCCUUCAUCAAAUUUAUCCAUACCUUUGUAUGUUGAUUUUCCUUCAUAAUUUUUGAACUCAAUACCUAUCAAUCUUUCUUCAAGGUUUUUUUAUUGUUUUUUCAAUGUUUAAUGCAAUGACUUUAGAGAGUUUGACUGAUUUUUUUUGUGUUGUCCAUUCAAUAAUACAAAAGCUUAUGGGUUAUGACUAUCAAUAUCUAACUUAUGUCUGAUUUUCCAUGACCAAUGCAAUGUUCUUUGUUAAAAUAAAGUUUACUUCAAGUUUUAUGUCUCUGUUUCCAUGUUCAACACAGAGAUCUCAUUAGGAGCUAAUGGAUGUGCCUAUUUUACCUGGAACGUUGUGAUAAAUAUCUUGGGCUGUAAACUAUUUUGAUUUAUUCAGCAAGAAAUAUGUUUCAAUGAAUUCUAAUGCAAUUAUUUUCCAUUGCUCAUCACAUUAUUACGGUCUUUUUUUACAUUUGCAGUAGUGUCUUCUGCAUUGCUGCCUUUUUUUUUUGUUUCUGUUAUGACUUUUGAGUUUAUUUUUCUGUAUUGAUUGUAGACUGAGAUCUUGAAGCGAGAGGUUACCCCUGCAAUGAGAUUGCUCAAUGAUCUUUUGAUUAUGUAUGAUGGCUUUAAUUUUGGCAUAAUAUCCAUGAUCUUUUGAUUAUGUAUGAUGACUUUAAUGUCGGCAUAAUAUCUAUAUGGCUGAGUAUUUAAAUAACCAAUUGAUCAAUGGUUAACAAAAAAAUAUGUAGAUUGAUAAGUUAUAUCAAAAAUUCAUAUUUGUUUGUAAUUUCUAAUUUCAAGUUAUGUAUAUGUAUUUUUCUUGAUGAUUUAGUCAGGUAAUGAUUAAUUUUUUCA